GGGGGUGUAGCUCAGUUGGGAGAGCACCGGCUUUGCAAGCCGGGGGUCGACGGUUCGAGUCCGUUCACCUCCACCA
rnacentral:tRNA from 3 species